CUGAUGAGCACUCAACCUCCUAACAAGGUAGACUGAGAUUUUAAACCAAAGAAGUUCAGUGUGGUGCUGUAGUCUCUGCAGGCUGCUUUUAUAUUUUGUGUACGUUAAAUGGUGUACACAAACUCAGAACCACACAUUGAGAAGGUAAUCUUGUGACCUCAUACUACUCUCAUAAUGCUUUGAGGUGCCUUCGAUUUUUUCGACUUUUAGCUGUAGGUUUGUUAAGCAGGUUUUGUGGUGUUUGAUUGUGUUGAAACAGAUGUUUUUUUGUGGUUAGUUUGGUGUUUUGGGGUUAUUGUUUUUUUUUUUUUUGCAAUUCUGAGCAUCCACCACAAUGAUGUCUCUUAGACAGAGUACGCACCUUAUAUAGGCAAUGUCUGACUAUGCAUAAUCUUCAUAUGGAAAAAGGAAUACUGAAUGGUAGAGGUGUAACUGCUGUCAAAAUUGUCUAAUGCAAAAAUGUAAAAAGUAGGAGAGGAGGAGCAAAAGGCUGCGUACAGAAAUGUUUGCUCCUACUCCUCCUCUCCUACUGUUGGACAGGUCAAAGUGGUUAUUUGUUUUAUUUUAUUUAUAUUAUAAUAUGAUUUUGUGUGGAAUUAUUGUGAAUUUUAUUUUCGACUUCUGUUUAUUUGUUGUGAUUAUUGUGGAGUGUAUUUUGGAUUUUUUGUCUAUUUGCUGUGAUGUGUGCUGUGUUUUGGGGUGGUUCGUCACUGAUAAUUUCUUUAAGACAGUCUAAUUACCCGAACAGCUGAAACUGCUUCUUGCAAUCCCCUUUUUUUUCGCCAAUCACAGCAGCGGGAGAGCGCGGGCAUGUCGGGACUCUUAUUUUAAAAGGUGGACUCUUAUCGUGUGGCAGAGAGCAGCAACAGGGCAGGAAGCGGGGCUCGGGAAGGGGACGCGCGGGCGAGUCGGAAGUGCUCAGACUCAGGAGCGGCAGCGGUGGACUCGGCGUGCGGCGUUGUGAGAACGCCGAGAGUGAGCCGGAGUACAGACCGCGAGGCUGGCUGGAAGAGUGUGGCACUUGCAGCAGACCUGGGAGGUUACUGAAGCAGGAGCACGCGGUGACGACGGCGGCCGUUGGACUGGUGACCGAGGGUCGAGCCAUACACUGUGGGCAAGCGGCUGCUGGUUCUGAGUACAGUUCUGACUGUGCUCAGAGCGGUCGGCUUCUAUCAUCUCCUACAGUACUCGGACAGGUGGCAAGAUGCCGUCACAAAAUCAAUUUCCGGGUCACGGAGGAGAGGAGGAGGAUCGGUAGGAAAAAGGAGACACUUUUGGGGUUUCUGGACGCAGCCUCUGUUUAAGACCUACAAUCUUACACCAAUUUGAGAAGUCCAACAGGUAAGGUUAAAGCGCCUUACACAUUUCCGUCACCGCCUUUGUGUGUAGAUAC
rnacentral:lncRNA from 1 species